UACGUAGGGUGCGAGCGUUAAUCGGAAUUACUGGGCGUAAAGCGUGCACAGGCGGUUUUGUAAGCCAGAUGUGAAAUCCCCGGGCUUAACCUGGGAAUGGCAUUUGGGACUGCAAGGCUGGAGUGCGGCAGAGGAGACUGGAAUUCCUGGUGUAGCAGUGAAAUGCGCAGAUAUCAGGAGGAACACCGGUGGCGAAGGCGGGUCUCUGGGCCGAUGACUGACGCUGAGGAGCGAAAGCGUGGGGAGCGAACAGG
rnacentral:rRNA from 1 species